ACGCACGCUGGCGGCGUGCUUAACACAUGCAAGUCGAACGAAAAGAGGGAAAGAGCUUGCUCUUUCCGGAAUUGAGUGGCAAACGGGUGAGUAACACGUAAACAACCUGCCUUCAGGAUGGGGACAACAGACGGAAACGACUGCUAAUACCGAAUAAGUUCCAAGAGCCGCAUGGCCCAUGGAAGAAAAGGUGGCCUCUACCUGUAAGCUAUCGCCUGAAGAGGGGUUUGCGUCUGAUUAGCUGGUUGGAGGGGUAACGGCCCACCAAGGCGACGAUCAGUAGCCGGUCUGAGAGGAUGAACGGCCACACUGGAACUGAGACACGGUCCAGACUCCUACGGGAGGCAGCAGUGGGGAAGCUUCCGCAAUGGGCGAAAGCCUGACGGAGCAACGCCGCGUGAGUGAUGACGGCCUUCGGGUUGUAAAACUCUGUGAUCCGGGACGAAAAGGCAGAGUGCGAAGAACAAACUGCAUUGACGGUACCGGAAAAGCAAGCCACGGCUAACUACGUG
rnacentral:rRNA from 1 species